AGAAAAUUAGAUGUACCUGUGUUUUAUGACCUUGAGAAUGAAUGAAUGUCUUCUAAAAUCAAAAUUGCAAACAGAAACUAUAUAAAAAGGAAUAAACCUAACGUACCUAAAACGUACAUUCUUACACAUUUCCACACCAAGUAAAUAGGACAAAACAAACUGGGGACAUUUUUACAACAAUUAUGUUAGAUGAAACUUAAAAUCCUUAUGACAUAUACAAUGUAUAAAACAGUAUUAUUACCACUAUUAUUACUACCAUUAUGAUUACCUGGUCUUCCCACGCACCAGUCCUCUUCCGGUGCCCUAUGGUGAAACAGAGCCCUCCGUCUCUGGCCACAGUGAGGGAUCCAUCAGGAACCCUGCCUAAGCCCUCAGAGGGUGUGAGCCAAACCAGGACAUCACAUUCCCUCCUGCAAUGACGCAGAUAUCCACUCACGACAGAGAUUUGGUACCUCUCUGGAAAAGCUGUGUAACAAUUAUUGCAGAAACUUGUUUCUUAUGUUCCCAGACACAUGGAGAAAGCUGGUCUGGAAGACUGAUGUCCACAUGCUAAGAGAAGCAGUCACUCAUAACACACACUGCACACACCACACCAUGUGCACACACACCCCACACACAGACACCACACAAACAGCACACACACCUCCAUGUGCACACACACCCCACACACAGACACCACACACUGCACACAGCCCACCACACUGCACAUGCCACACCGUGUACAUGCACACACCACACACACACCACACACAGUGUACACAAGCACACAUGCCCCACACAUACACCACACAGACACCACACACACUGCACACAGCACAACAUGCAUACACGCACACACACCCCCACACACCACACAUACUGCACACAUACCACGUACACACACACCCAACACAGACAUCACACACUGCACACACACCAUGUAUACAUGCACACAAACCCCCAAACAUCACACACACCACACACCAUGUGCACGUGCACACACCCCACCACAGACACAUACACUGCACACAGACCAGGUGCACACACGCACACCCCUGAUACGCCACACACACACCAUGUGCACACACACACCCCAGACACCACACACACUGCACACACACCAUGUGCACAUGCACACACAUCCCCACACCACAAUGCACAAUGUGCACACACGCAUACCCCCCACACACCGCACACACUACACCACACACAAGAAUCUACUACACACACAACAUACACAUACAGCACCACACACACCCCAUACUCCCCACACACAUCAAACACACGCCCCACACAUACUCCCCACACACUGCACACGUAUAUAUAGCACCACACAGAGCACACACAUCACAUACACACCACACAUACUGUGCACACACACACCACACAUUCUACACUCAUCACACAUCAAACACUACACACAGUACACACACAUCCAGCACCAUACACACACACAUCACAUAAACCACAAACUGCACACACAUAUAUCAUACGCACACCACACCACACGUAGUACACACCCACCACACACACAUACACCACAAACACAGCACAUAUACACACCAUGCACCACCCACAAACUACACACAGUAUACACACAUAACACCCACAAUACACACUACACACACAUAUACAUACCCCAUGAACCUACUACACACAAAGACCACAAACACACACCAUACAUACACAUCACACACAUACACCUGCGCACACCUCACAGCAUACAUACAAUCCUCACUUUUAGAAAUUAAUUUGGCUUUUAAGGAGCCUGGAUAGUAAAGUAUUUUAUUGGCAUUUGAAUGAACCAAAAAAAUGCAUAUAAAUACACAAGCGUAACUAUAAGGGCAAAAGUAGUACUUUCGAAAUCACAACAUUAGAUUAAACCAUGUAAAUUUUUUAUUGUUUUUAAAAAAUCGAGUCUUUCUCAUCUUACGAUAAAUUAUUUACCAGAGUAAAUAAGCUUCUUACUGAGGUCAAAAGACUUUCUGGAAAAACUUCUCCUUGAUGAAAUUGCACUUAAAACAUCACUUCCAUCAUGAAGUAUUUAAGAUGGUCUUGGUCCUUUUCCUGUUAUGUGGAAUCGUCAAUUCAAAUUUUAAAAGUGACGUUGAGAUGUUUUUCAUCUAUUAUUUUAAAAACGUUGAAGGCGUUUUUAAUUCUGCCUUCAACAGAGAUCGACAUACCUCUGAUUAUGAUGUAAAACUGAACACGUUACUCUGACAGGCUUUCUUUUCUGCAGCGCAGCUACCAUCAUUAUUAAUAAGGAUUGAAGGCUUUUACUCCAUGCACAAUCUGUAUUCCCUGCUUUAUAAAGAAUAGAAAUCUAAUUCUCACUAUGAAGGCAGAUAAAAGUAAUCCCUUCAACCUAUAGAUGAAUCAUUUACCAAAGCACUCAGACUUUAAAUAGCAUUUAUCAAAUGUGUCUAUAUU
rnacentral:lncRNA from 1 species